UACGGAGGGGGCAAGCGUUGUUCGGAUUUACUGGGCGUAAAGGGUGUGUAGGCGGCUGGAUAAGUCUGGCGUGAAAUCUUCACCGCUUAACGGGAAGGGGUCGCUGGAAACUGUUCAGCUUGAGUAUGGUAGAGGCAAGCGGAAUUCCUGGUGUAGCGGUGGAAUGUGUAGAUAUCAGGAAGAACACCAAUGGCGAAGGCAGCUCUCUGGGACGGUACUGACGCUGAGACGCGAAAGCGUGGGGAGCGAACAGG
rnacentral:rRNA from 1 species